rnacentral:rRNA from 1 species
CGUGUAGGUGGCCUUAUAGGUCAGAUGUGAAAUCCCCAGGCUUAACCUGGGAAUUGCGUUUGAAACCAUAGGGCUUGAGGCUGGGAGAGGAAAGCGGAAUUCCUGGUGUAGCGGUGAAAUGCGUAGAUAUCAGGAGGAACACCAGUGGCGAAGGCGGCUUUCUGGACCAGUCCUGACACUGAUCCGCGAAAGCGUGGGGAGCGAACG